rnacentral:rRNA from 1 species
AUUGAACGCUGGCGGCAGGCCUAACACAUGCAAGUCGAGCGAGCGGCGGACGGGUGAGUAAUGUCUGGGAAACUGCCUGAUGGAGGGUGAUCACUACUGGAAACGGUAGCUAAUACCGCAUACCAUCAGAUGUGCCCAGAUGGGAUUAGCUGGUAGGUGGGGUAACGGCUCACCUAGGCGACGAUCCCUAGCUGGGCUGAGAGGAUGACCAGCCAAACUGGAACUGAGACACGUGCCAGACGCAUACGGGAGGCAGAAGUGGGGAAUAUUGCACAAUGGGCGCAAGCCUGAUGCAGCCAUGGCGCGUGUGUGAAGAAGGCAGUAGGGUUGUAAAGCACUUUCAGCGGGGAGGCGGUACCCGCAGAAGAAGCACCGGCUAACUCCGUGCCAGCAGCCGCGGUAAUAC